rnacentral:rRNA from 1 species
GACGAACGCUGGCGGCGUGCUUAACACAUGCAAGUCGAACGGAAAGGCCCUGCUUUUGUGGGGUUCUCGAGUGGCGAACGGGUGAGUAACACGUGAGUAACCUGCCCUUGACUUUGGGAUAACUUCAGGAAACUGGGGCUAAUACCGGAUAGGAGCUCCUGCUGCAUGGUGUGGGUUGGAAAGUUUCGGCGGUUGGGGCUGGACUCGCAGCUUAUCAGCUUGUUGGUGGGGUAGUGGCUUACCAAGGCUUUGACGGGUAGCCGGCCUGAGAGGGUGACCGGCCACAUUGGGACUGACAUAAGGCACAGACUCCUACGGGAGGGAGCAGUGGGGAAUAUUGCACAAUGGGCGGAAGCCUGAUGCAGCAACGCCGCGUGCGGGAUGACGGCCUUCGGGUUGUAAACCGCUUUCGCCUGUGACGAAGCGUGAGUGACGGUAAUGGGUAAAGAAGCACCGGCUAACUACGUG